rnacentral:rRNA from 1 species
GACGAACGCUGGCGGCGCGCCUAACACAUGCAAGUCGAACGGUGAAGAGGGGCUUGCUCCUCGGUACAGUUGCGGACGGGUGAGUAACACGUGAGCAACCUGGCUCUAAGAGGGAGACAACAGUUGUAAACGACUGCUAAUACCGCAUAACGUAUCUGUAUGGCAUCUUCCUGAUACCAAAGAUCUUAUCGCUUAGAGCUGGUCUCGCUUCUGAUUAGAUGGUUUGCGGGGUAACUGCACACCAAGUCUACGAUCAGUAGCCGGCAUGAGAGGUUGAACCGACACACUUGGACUGAGCCACGGCACAGAAUCUUACGGGAUGGAGGAGUGGGGGAUAUUGGAAAACGGGGGGAACCCUGAUGCAGCGACGCCGGGUGAAGGAAGAAGGUUUUCGGAUUGUAAACCUCUGUUGACGGAGAAAAAAAUGACGGUACCCGUUCAGAAAGCCACGGCUAACUACGUG